rnacentral:rRNA from 1 species
GUAGGGAAUAUUGGACAAUGGGGGCAACCCUGAUCCAGCGACGCCGCGUGAGUGAUGAAGGCCUUCGGGUCGUAAAGCUCUGUUGCAGGGGAAGAACACAAUGACGGUACCCUGCUAGAAAGGAUCGGCUAACUUCGUGCCAGCAGCCGCGGUAAGACGAGGGAUCCUAGCGUUGUUCGGAAUUAUUGGUCGUAAAGCGGGUGCAGGUGGCUUGGUAAGUCAGAUGUGAAAGCCUGGGGCUUAACCCCAGAAGUGCAUUUGAUACUGCUGAGCUUGAGUGCUGGAGAGGCUAUUAGAAUUCCUGGUGUAGUGGUGAAAUACGUAGAUAUCAGGAGGAAUACCGGAGGCGAAGGCGGAUAGCUGGCCAGACACUGACACUCAGACCCGAAAGCGUGGGAAUCAAACAGGAUUAGAUACCCUAGUAGUCC